AGUCUUGAUAUACCGGUUUCCAAUCAAAAGUACCGGUCAUUUCAUCCAACUAGCAUUUUCAUCAUGGCAAAGGUGUCAAAAUUGUUUUCUUCUGAUACCGGUUUUGAAUGAUAAUGAUAACCGGCGGUAAGGUUGGUUCAGGCUCAUAAAAUAAUAAUUAUUGUAGCCGCAUUGAUAUCUUGCUUUUGUUCGUAACUACGACAGCCGACCAAGAAGAAAUCUUUCCCAACUUAAACAUAUUAAUCUAAUUCAAUUUGUGUGUGACGAAGACUUGUCAUGAAGGCAGGCGCAGGAGUUAAAAAAAAUGUCGAUCGUCGGGACAUGGAAGUUUCCUUGAAUUCUAAAUUUGUUUAAAUUUCUAUAUGUCGCCGGGAAGAACCUUGUUGACCAGACAUGUACUGAGAUGCUUUGUGAUAAAUUUAUAAAUGACAGAUAAAAUAAUCAUUGAGACAUUAUGUUCGUAGGAAAGAAGCAACCCAGCACUCUAUUUAAGUCAAGUGAAGGGCCCACCCCAAAUUUAACUGGCAUCAUAAGCUAAUCAGGAUCGACUACCACCGAGGAUGCCAGUCUAGAUGAGAUGUGCGCCCUGCCCUUGGGGGAGGAUUAUGAUGUGAUGCAAGGGCAGGGGCGCUUUAAGGAGGUGGGGGAUGAGGGUGCUAAGGGGAUAACCUUCUUCUUUCUUAGGGGAGUAAAGCUACCCUCUCAAAAGACGACAGGCACAGGAAGGGGUUAACGUGGAGAACGAGGAGAACGAGGAGGAGCUAGACGCAGGAGGAGAAAGGACCGUAUAAAAACCCGAACAAGGACGGAACGAGGAGAAGCGAAGUCCACGAGUUAAACGAGCCGAAGUCGGACAGCGUAAUUAGACAAGGUAGGAGAUCACUUUUGGAGGGCUCGUGGGCAACGCCGAGGACUUCCGUCGCAGGGCCGUGCCGUGGACUUUAAGAUGUCGGCGAGUGAGCGGUCAGGCUGCUGCUAAUUUCUGCCAGUUUCGGCAGUGGCGGAGCGACGUAGGGUUUAUGGUCCAGAAGGGAGCGAGCGAUAUCAGUUCGGAGGCGUCGGAAGCGGAAUUCUAGUGAUCCGCGUUGUAUUCUUUCUUGUGUACUGUUUAGAGUAAAUUAAUAAAGUCCAAUUGUCUUGUUAA